UGAUUUGCAAAGAAAGAAGCGAGGAAGACUUUUUUUUUAUAUUCCUAUCUUAUCUUGUCUCCAUGUCCCAUCAAAUGUAUGGAUGAAGAAAUACAAAGUUGGGAUGUGAGAUUGAUAAACUUUAUUUUAGUCUAGUAUCAUUAUCAUCUAUUAUGCCACAAUUUUUUUUACCAACAACCUACACUACGCCAAAAAUGACUUUUAACAGCGCAUCUUAGACAGCGCUUUUAAAAGAAAGCGCUGUCUAAGGUUAAAAUUAAAAUAAAACACGGAAAAUGUUCCAAAAAAAUAAUGAAAGCGCUUUUAAAUAUAGACCUUAGUCAGCGCUUUUGAUAAAGCGCUGUCUAAAGUCUUUAAAUUAAAAAAA
rnacentral:lncRNA from 1 species